GCGAUCAUUAUCACAUGUAUCGUGGAAAAUAUUCUAUGAACGGUAUAGUUUCUUAUUUCCAGGAAACAAAUGUAAUUAUGUAUUGUUUUUAGUCGAUGACAUCCAUUUUUAUCGAUAUAUAUGUGAUAUUAUUGCUAUACUUCGUGCACAGCGGCUGAUUGUGUUUUAAAUAUUGUAUGAUAUUCGUUUAUGAUAUUUGGCGUCUACAGGCAUUUAUUUGUAAUUCAUUUGUUUAAUCAAUAACGCGAUAGCUUGAUGUCUUCGUACGUUUAAAGAGUAAUAAGAUUAUGAAAGAUUUCUAGAAAUGGAGUGAUAUUAAGGGAAAAAGAAAUAUGGACGAAUUUUUAGAAGACGAUAAGAAUUCAUACGAACAUGAAGAGAAUAUGAGUCUUAUUCACGAUACGGACAUAUCACUGAAUUUUGAUUUAUGUGCUCCAGAGUUUCGGCAUCAAAUUAAUAAUGCCAAAUCUGAUAUUCUCAUGCCUCGGCUUUGUCACAAAAUUUCCAUGUCUUAUCAAAAGGGUAAAGAAGAGAUACCAUUUCAUAUUCCUCACAAGAAAUUGCUCGAGAAAAUCGAAUAUAAACGAGAAAUCCCUGAACCG